rnacentral:lncRNA from 1 species
AACUUUAACGUACAAAAAUGCGGGAUGUAAUAGCUCAUUUCCGAGGUUUCAUCAAUUUACUUAUAGCAUAUUUUUACAUAUGAAAACAUGGGGUAUAACAACCCCCUUCCUGGGAAGUAGGUGGUAAAGUAGGAAAUGCCCCGGCCUGAGCCAUACUCUCGAACAACCCAACUAUACGGACAAAACAUCCUAAACAACUGGUGAAAAGAAAUAAACCCUGGGGAACCUGAGCUUGUACCUCCGGCUCAGCAUAAUCAUGAACUUGCUCCUCAACAGAAGUUGCUUUUGGCUCUACAAUAGCUGCACGAGUAGGGGAUCUAGCUACGACAUGUGCUCUACCCCUACCUCAGCCUUGGACCCAGCCUCUUAUGGCCCUAAGCUGGGGUGCUACCUGCGUUCUCCCCGUUUGUGAGAGAAUAGAAAAGCAACAAUUCAUACUUAAGGAUAAACAAAUCUGCAUGACAGAUAAUUAAAGAAAGAGCUAAAGAAAGAGAUGUUUUACCAACAGCCUUGUAGCCUCUCGAAUAUAAGUACACACAUCUCUUAACCAAUCCGCAAGACUCUACGAGACUUGCUUAUGACUCGUGAGACGUAAGAAACCUAGAGUUUUGAUACUGGCUUGUCACGACACCAAAUCCCACUAAAGUUGUGAUGGCGCCUAACACUGUUUUCUAGGCAAGACAACAUUCAAUGUACAAAAAUAAACUUCAAUAACAGAAAUGAAUAGUCUCAAAAGCGGAAUAAGAUAAAUAAUUUCAGUCAAAUAGCGAUACCACUAGAAUACUAUCCAAGAACAUGUUGUCAACGAGUACAUGAGCUCUAUAUAGUAAAUACGUAUAACGGUCUGAAUAAUGAUACAAUACUAUCUAAAGAACAUAAAUAGUAAUAACAAAAAUAAGGAAAGGGACUCCAAGGUCUGCGAACGGAACAACAAAGCUAACUUAAAAUUUCUAAUAGGUAUGUGUACGGCUUUCUAUCAAUCAACUCUAUCAGCAGCACCUGGAUCUAAACAUAAAGUGCAGACUAUGUAUGAGUACAACCGACCUCAUGUACUUUGUAAGUAGCAAGCCUAACCUUGGAAUGAAUAUAGUGAUGAGAUUGGCAAAGUCCGCUACUUACUUUCAAUCAUCCAACAAUAACAGUAAAAAUAUAUUAAUAAUAGCAACACGAAAAAAUGUAGGUCAAGAAUAGAAAGUUCAACUUGAUCACAUUAACAGGAAAAUAGGCAUGCUUUGCCAUCAAAUCAAUUAAGGCAUCAAUUUCAAGAUAUAAAGUAUCAAUUAGCAUGAGAAAGAUACGCCUCUAUACCUGCAUGAAAAGUAUCAAUGCCAAAAUCAACGAACACAUAGUUAAAUAAUCAAGUAAGCACAAUCUCAGCACUAUACGAGUGCUUGGCAUAAAGCCCCUCACUAAACAUUGUUAGUUCCCCAAGUACACACAAGUAUAUGUGGACGUCAAGUAAUAAAGCAACUCGAAAGUCGGAUGUCGAACCCACAAAGACUUAGAAUAAUUGUUAACUAAGCUAAAUAAAAUUAAUUUACUGUCCAAGGUAAACAAAAGUGUUAGUUUAUUCUAUUAAUCUACUAUUGCGAAAAUUAAACAAGCAAUCAACUAAUAACAAGAAUGCAAAAGUUUAUUCUUGGAUUUUUAUCAAAGUUCUAGGUUGUGGUCGGUUUAUCAAUCCUAUUGAGUUCGUAAUUACACCUUAUUAAUCUGAAUUAUCUAUGAUUGCUAGUUCACAGGAUCAUUUAUAUAAAUAGCAUGUUUCAACAAUAAUGUCCGUCUUCCCAAAAAAUAUCAAUCAUAUAUUUAUAUGGUAUUGAAUCUAUCAUAAACGAAGAAAAUACGACAUUCAACUAAGAAAUACCGUUAAGUAUAUCCUAACCAUGAAAUCCUUCCCCGAGCCACAGGUUCAGAAACAAGCUUUCUUUAAUUCUACUCUAAUUAAAACGUGUCUAUUCCAAGCAUAACAUAGAUAGUAGGGUGAAUUGGUGGCUACAACAAUUCACAAGUGAAAACUAGAACUAAGGAAAUAACCACGAGAUGAUAAUUCAAAUUAACGAAGAUGUAAUUAAUAAACGUCAAUAAUCAUGUCAACCACAAUCCUAGAAACUAGAGUGCUUAGCCACUCAUGUUCGUGGUAAUAGUUAUUCAAGUAUUUUGCAUAAGCAAGUUACAAAGAAAGGAUGAAGGGAUGCAGAACUCUAUGAUUUUCCCCUCCAAAGUGCACACAGUGUUUUUGCUUACAAAUAGUGUCCACCCCUCACUAAUCACGUAUAGGAAGUAUUUAUAGGCUAGGGUUGGAGUCUACAAUUCCAAAACCGAGUAGGUAACAUAUUAAUUUGCGAACUGGGGAUACAAGGCGCCUAACCUUGCGGGACCCGUUUUGGGGCACGCCUAGAGCCUCGCGAGGCGAGGCCUAGCGCGGGCAAGAGAUGACCAGAAGCCAGGCGUCGCCUCGCCUAGCGCCUGGUUUGGCUUAUUUGUGUUUUUGUGCUCCUUUCUUCUAUUUUCAUUACCCUUUUGUGCAACCUUCACUCGUCUUUAUAUUUUAAUGAUCCUACACAUAAAAAACAUAAUUAAGCUCAAACGUCUCACAUAUUAACAUCAAAACACCAAAAUGUAAGGUAGCAAUGCACUAAAGAUAAAAUAGCCAAAGUAUCAAGCAUAUAUCAAGUGUCUGCACUUAUAGGGCCUAGAGUAACAUGGGUUAUGUCCUGUCUCCGAAGGGGCUGAUCCUAACCUAAGCGCUGAUCGAAUCAAAUAUGAAUGAUCAUCAUAACUCUGCGCCAAAUAGCCUAGCGCAUGCGCCACCUCAAUAUCAAUACCACAUAGCCAAUAGGGGACUUGGCAUACAUAUCACCUCACUGUCAAUAUUAUCAUAGUUCUAUGGCCCCGGUUCAGUCAUUAAUUCGCUCAAAUCCCAAUAUGCCAACAUCUGACAGUAUUAGAAAUUAAUAUACGCACAAAUUAUACUAACAUGUUACAAAUCAAUUCAAACCCAUGUCACACAAGUAAGGACACCAUCAAGAUGUGAGAUAAUAUGUAAAAAGUAUUCAGAGAUGAUGUAUAACACGCGGAUAUAAUAUCAUAACUGAAAAUAUAACUAUAAUCAAGGCAAGCAGCUCAACAUAGCAAAAAUGUCGCUAUCAUAUCUCAAACGGAUAAGCACAUAGCCUAUACAUGAUUUCUAGCAUAAAUAAUAGUUCAAGUAAUCAUAUAAGUAAAGAAAAUGUGGCAACGUGAAGGCAUGUCAACAAAACAAGGCACAUAAUAGCCUAAAGUGUACCCAAAGCAUGAAUAACUACAGUGUACGCAUAUAACAUGCGUCACUCCCAACGUAUAGCAAGUAUCGUAGUCUACUAGGGAAAAUACCCUCAAGCCAACCCUAGGCAAGAUACCUACCUCAAAGCGCAAGAAUCAAUACUCCAAAAAGCCCUUGCCUCUCAAAUCGGCCUUUGAACGGGUCAAAUCUAGUGAAAAACAACUCAAUAACGUCAAACAAGGCUAUAGGAUUCAAUUCCAAAUAAUAAAGCUCCAAUCAUUAUCAAAUUGUACAAAGUCAACCAAAAAGUCAACCGAGCCCGUUUUUCGGAAGCCGACAAAAGUCUUAAAACGCUACUACCCAUUUUGAAUAUGAGUUCAAAUAUAUAAGUUUUAUCAAAAUCUGACUCUAAAUCGUAGUUCCAAUCUCUAUUUUUCACUCUUCAAAAAUAAUAGUUAAAAUUCCCAAUUUUCUCUUUCAAAUCUCAUAAUUCAUGUGUAAUAAUCCAUGGAGAAAUAAGUUGUAAUAUGAAAAUCAAGUAAAAAUUACUUCUCUAUUGCCUUGUGUGAAAAUCUUCUUCAAAAAUCGUCAUUCUCAAAGUUUAUGGCUCAAAAUAUGAAAUAAUAAAUCCAAAUCCCAAAAUUAGAACUUCAUAUAGUUUUCCCUAUGAUACACUUUGCCAACGCGACCCAUGCCUUACGUUCGUGAAACACAAACCAGCUCCUGCCUCAAAAGACCCAUCGCGAACGCGAACGAUUACCCGCGAACGUGAUCCACUGCUAACCCAAGCCUACGUGAACACGCCUUGUUCAUCCGAACGCGUUGACAAACCCCAGCCGACUACCAGCCAACCUCUCCUCUUACGUGAAUGCAAGCCCUUCGUCUGCAAAUGCGAAGACCAAUAACCGCAACACUUCGCAAACGUGACGCCAUUUUCGCGAACGCAAAGAACGAAAACACAGCUGUCCAAAUAAGCCUUUGAUAUUGCGAGACCUGCUCAAAGAUCGCGUAGCACACCAGAUAUCAGCAGUCAUCAGGAAUUCAACCAAGCUUUGGGUAAUCCGAAACUGACCCGAGCCACUCGGGACCCUGUCAAAUCAUACCAAUAAGUCCAUAAACACUAUUCAGACCUACCCAAAACCUUCAAAAACAUGAAAGAUCACCACAUCUAUGAAUCGACGAUCAAACCAGCAAUUAAACUUCUCUUAAGUUCAUAAGCUUCUAGACGUUUAACCAAACGCCUGAUUCCUACCAAACCAACCCCGAAUGAAAUCAGACUUUGCACACAAUUCCAAAAUUAUAUAACAAACCUAUUCCAAGUCCUGAAACAACAAUCCAAACCCUAUAUUAUCAAAGUAAACUUCCAGUCAAACUUAUAAAUCUUCCAAACCUUCAAGUUUCUAACUUUUAGAGCCAAAAUAUGCUAGGAACCUCCAAAUCCAAAUUCGGACAUACGCCUAAGUACAAAAUAACCAUUCGGACCUACUAGAACCAUUAAAAUCAAUCCAAGUUCAUUUUCUCAAAAGUCAAAUGUCGGUCAACUCUUAUAACUUAGGCAUCCAUUAAUAGAACUAAGUGUUCCAAUUCACUACAAAACCUUUCCAGAACCAAACUAACUAUCUCUUCAAGUUAGAAAAAAAAAACAAGUAAUACGGGAAGCAUCAAAUAGGAAAACGGGGCUUAAGUACACAAAACGACAGGCCGGUUCGUUACACUACUAGAUCAAAUAAAGGAAAAAAAGAUAUAAAAUAAGAUCUCAAUUGUUUAGAAAUCUGGAUCUCUCCUUUGGGCCAACCUGGGUCUGGUUUGUGUUCAUGGUGGUUGAUUUGUAGAAAUGGAGGAGGAAAUAGGUUUCAUGGAUUGUUCACUAUUUUAAUUAAAUUGCUUUUAUUUUUCUAGAUGGUUGUUCUAGUUAGUUCACUAUAGCUAAUUGAAGUGUGGCCUUACACAAGAAAGCCAAUCUUAACUUUUAAUGUGGAAUUUGUAUGGGGUAAAAUUGAUGAAUGAUAGGUGGCACCAAAGACAUGUAAGGUAUGAGUCAGCAAAUAGAUGGUACCGGUUAUGAGUAUGCAACCGGUGUUUUGUGGAUUUCGAAGACAUUGGAACCGGAGACGAAAGUUUGAAAGUGAGGUAUCAGUUGAAGAAGGCACCAUUCAAGGAGCUACCGUUACAAUGAAUCUUUGCAUUUAUACUCAACCGUUAUGCACCUAUCAAGAGGGGUCUUUAUUCAUAUUAAAUAAUAGCUUGAUUUGGGGAUCUUGUCUCCCUGAAUUUAGCUUUAAAUAAAGGAAUUUGUACUCAUUGUAGAGAGGGAAUUUUUGCACAAGAAAGGAUUAACUUAAUCUUACUUUCUAUUAACAUCUUUUUGCUGAAUACUUUGAUCUUAUUCUUGCUUCCGAAAAAUCUCACUUCACAACCAGGCUUAUAUUCUUCAAAUGUUCUUAGUUAAUUUAUUUAUGUUCUUAGCUAUUUUAUAUUAUUGGAUUAGUUUGAUUCACGUGUCUAUUAACCACGCUAUAAAUUUAACUGCAUCGUUUUACGGGUAAAUAGAUCGGCGCCCACCAUAGGGUACAGACAAUUGUGGUAUUACUUUGAUCCAUUCAUCUGUUACUAACGUAUUUUAACGCUUUUCUUUAGUAAAGUAAAAGCAGAUGUGGAAAAUAAUGAUGUUAACAACUCAUUCAAUGUUGGGACAAACAACAAGCAUGAGGAUAUUUUCCAUGAUGGAGUUCAAUGUGAUGAUUCAAUCAGUGAAACUAGAAAUGACAGAGAUGACACAACUCCGAUUCGGGAAGAACGAAAUCCUCGGCAUGUGAGGAGUCCUACCCCUGAUUAAAUUGAUGAUGAACAUAUUGUCAAAACGGUGAAAGUUUUAAGGGCAUAGCAAAUGGAAAUCAUGAAUCAUCUCUCAAGAUAGGACCGGAUAAUGACUUAGCUCUAGCAAACACUUUUGGUUGCCUCUAAUAAUUCCAAUGAAGGAGUUCGAGCCCCUCCCAGCGUGCAUGCAGAUCAAACAACACAAAGAACCGGCAACAUCGCUCCAAUGGAGGAGUUUGGAUUUAAUGUUAACCAAGAAGGUGGUGCAGGCAGUGGAUCCGGGAAUGAUAAUAACACAAAGGAUUCUUUCAAGAUCGAGCUCAUGAGGUUCACAAUAGAAAUUAAUUAUCAGAUGGAUCAAUACACCAAAGAAUUUCACGCACGGAUAGAUCAGAUCCCGGGGACACCUUUAAUAUUGAAGGGCGUGGAUUCAAAGAAGUAUACUCAGCUGCCAUUCAAACUGUGUGCGGCCCAAAGUUGAUUCAAAAAAGAAUCAAGAUGCCAGAUAUUACGAAGUAUGAUAAAAUUUUGGAUCCAUAGUAGUACAUCACAACUUACACUACGGCUAUAAAGGGAAAUGAUUUGGCUCUGCAUGAGAUCAAAUCUGUUUUGCUAAAGAAAUUUGGUGAAAUGUUAAUAAAGGGAAGUUUAAUGCGGUAUUCACUUUUACCUAAACAUUCAAUUAUUCUUUUAAAAUUCUUGCAGAUUCUUUUAUCAAGGUACAUAUCGGGGCAAGGAAAGUCCAAGCCAGGAAGGCGGGUAUAGUCAGGAUCGCUCAAGGAGAAUCUGAAUUGCUUCGAGAGUUCGUGAUCCGGUUCCAAAAGAAGAGGAUGUUGUUGCCAGUAGUACCACAUGAAUGUGUAGAAGAGGCGUUCACCAAAGGCCUCAAUCAUUUAAGAUCUGAUUCUUCGAGGAAGUUGAAGGAGAGCCUAUUGGAAUUUGAGGAAACCACAUAGGCAGAUGUCCAUAAUUAUUAUGAAUCGAAAAUUAGAAUUGAAGAUGAUCAGUUGAGUUCUUCGGUGUCAUUCAAGGGUUGUAACCGUGAUUGAAAUCAGAAAAAGUUCAAAAAUGAUUCUGAUGUAGACUGGAGGUCAUCCAUGAGUUGUUUUCAACCUUAUUUAUCAAAUGAAUGAUCCGAUAGGCAUGGAGCUAAAGGCUUUUAGUCAUCGCAAAGAUUCGGACCGGAUAGAAUGAUGGAUCGUGGUUGGAGUAGUAGGACUUUGUAGGAUAAAUAACCAUCGACGUCGCGGGAUUUGGGAUAUCCCAGUUACCAGAUUACAAUUUCAAUGUCAGUUUGGUAGAGUUGGUUUCAGCUAUGAGAAAUAUCAAAGAGGCAAGGUUUCUAAAACCAAUUAGAUCAGAUCCCAGUCAAAGGGAUCCUAAUUUGUAGUGCAAAUUCCAUGUAACACAUGGCCACAAGACUGGGGACUGCCGACACCUUUGUGAAGAGGUGGCGAUGUCAUUGAAAAAUGGUUACCUUAGAGAGUUUUAGAGUGAUCGGGCUAAGAACAAUUGCAGGAGGAAUCGAGAUGCUACGGAACCAGUGAAACUAGCUACAGGGUCACCCCAUUUAACAAUAAACAUGAUCUUUGGUGGGGUUGAAAUAAAUGGGGUGACGUUUUCGGUAGUGAAGAAGAUGAAGAUAUUGGUAACUCAUGGCAAGAGAAUCUCAGAAGCAUCAGAAGAUGAUGAAAUCACUUUCAUGGAGGAAGAUGCUAACAGCCUUAUUUUACCGCAUAAUGAUGAUCUGGUAAUAUCUUUAAUCAUUGUACAUUUUAAUUAUAAAGGUGUUUUGGUUAAUCCGGGUAGUUUAGCCAAUAUCAUUCAAUUGAGGGUCUUGGAACAAGCAAAGUUAACCGAAAAUGUAGUUCUGACAAUAAAACUUCGGGUUGGAUUCAACUUAACAAGCGUAACAACCCGAAGUGAGUUCUUACAUCCUAAACAUGUUGAAGGGUUAACAAAAAUCACUUUUUUCGAGGGGUGUAUGGCGAUAUGGUCUUCAAGGUAAUCCUUGGUAGACCAUGGAUUCAUAAAAUGAAGGUUGUUCCAUCAACUUACCAUCAAUUGCUAAAGUUCCCUACACCAGAUGGGAUCAAACAAAUUAGGUGUGAUCAACCUGUUGUGAGAGAAAUGAUUGCAGUCACCUUAUCCAACAGCAAGGCGGAGGGAACCAGCAAAUAACAGCUACAGGAACCGAUGUCUACUUCCCUUCUGAUCUCGAUUGAAGGUGAUGGAGAGGAAGAGACACUGGAUUUUUAUCAGGUGCCUAGAUCCUUCUAGGUACCGGAAGAAACGGAUGCACUAAAGUCAACCGCAGAGGAACUUGAACAAAUUUAUUUGUUUACAGAAUUCAUGGAUAAAAAGGUUUACUUGCGAACGAGGUUGAGUCCCGAACUCAAGCUUAGAAUUAUUGAAUUUUU